rnacentral:rRNA from 1 species
GUGGUUAAGUUACUAAGGGCACACGGUGGAUGCCUUGGCGCUAGGAGCCGAAGAAGGACGCAGCGAACUGCGAUAAGCCUCGGGGAGCGGUAAGCACGCUUUGAUCCGGGGAUCUCCGAAUGGGGCAACCCACCAUCUGUAAUGGGAUGGUAUCCUUCACUGAAUACAUAGGUGAUGAGAAGGCAGACCCGGUGAACUGAAACAUCUAAGUAGCCGGAGGAAGAGAAAACAAUAGUGAUUCCGUCAGUAGUGG